rnacentral:rRNA from 1 species
GAUGAACGCUGGCGGCGUGCUUAACACAUGCAAGUCGAACGGAAAGGCUCCUGCUUGCAGGGGUACUCGAGUGGCGAACGGGUGAGUAACACGUGGGUGAUCUGCCCUGCACUUCGGGAUAAGCCUGGGAAACUGGGUCUAAUACCGGAUAGGACGAUGGUUUGGAUGCCAUUGUGGAAAGUUUUUCGGUGUGGGAUGAGCUCUCGGCCUAUCAGCUUGUUGGUGGGGUAAUGGCCUACCAAGGCGUCGACGGGUAGCCGGCCUGAGAGGGUGUACGGCCACAUUGGGACUGAGAGACGGCCCAGACUCCUACGGGAGGCAGCAGGGGGGAAUAUUGCACAAUGGGCGCAAGCCUGAUGCAGCGACGCCGCGUGGGGGAUGACGGCCUUCGGGUUGAAAACUCCUUUCGCUAGGGACGAAGCGUUUUGUGACGGUACCUGGAGAAGAAGCACCGGCUAACUACGUG